UAUGGACGCUGGAGAACAACAAUUAGAUGUAUUUUUACCGAAAGACCCAGGCGAGAUGGUUUCCUAUGUGUGCGUCAAUUUAGAAGGCACCCCUAAGGAGAACGCUAUAGUUGACUUCGUGGCGUUUAUGCAGACUGUUACCAUCAAAUUGAGGAGUCCAGCUGAUGAUGAAGUGCAUGUCCACAUUGUAGCCAAAGAGCACGGUUAUUAAAAUUGAUUGAAUUAAAA